AUUGAACGCUGGCGGCAGGCUUAACACGUGCAAGUCGAGCGGAGAUGAGGUGCUUGCACCUUAUCUUAGCGGCGGACGGGUGAGUAAUGCUUAGGAAUCUGCCUAUUAGUGGGGGACAACAUUCCGAAAGGAAUGCUAAUACCGCAUACGUCCUACGGGAGAAAGCAGGGGAUCUUCGGACCUUGCGCUAAUAGAUGAGCCUAAGUGGGAUUAGCUAGUUGGUGGGGUAAAGGCCUACCAAGGCGACGAUCUGUAGCGGGUCUGAGAGGAUGGUCCGCCCCACUGGGACUGAGACACGGCCCAGACUCCUACGGGAGGCAGCAGUGGGGAAUAUUGGACAAUGGGGGGAACCCUGAUCCAGCCAUGCCGCGUGUGUGAAGAAGGCCUUAUGGUUGUAAAGCACUUUAAGCGAGGAGGAGGCUACUGAGACUAAUACUCUUGGAUAGUGGACGUUACUCGCAGAAUAAGCACCGGCUAACUCUGUGCCAGCCGCCGCCGUAACAC
rnacentral:rRNA from 1 species